rnacentral:lncRNA from 1 species
CUGUCUAUCCCAAGGACAACUCCGUAGAUGAGGUGGUUACAGGUCACUGCCGGUCUGUAUUCCUGCAAUGACAGAGAUCAAAGCAUGGCUAGAACAGUUCUUUGCUUGCUGUUUCUCUUGGAGGAUUCCCCCAGAAUAAGACUUUGAUCUCCUCUUGGGCAGGGUGGAGGCAGCUGCUCUGAAAUCGCCAUCUCGGUCUGUUCGAGAGCCGCAGGACCACGCCGAUAAUCCAGGAUAGCUGCAACUGAAGGGAAGAUGGCAGCUGCGAGGGAGCUUCAGCUGUGCGGUAUUAAAACCUUGCAGGCCGGCGGGGGACUAAUGUGUUACACACUUCCAGUUUUGAUGCGCUWUUGAGGAAGAACGCAAAAGGUUGCCCCAAUGCCUUUGUGAAUUAAGGCCUUGAAAGCAGUUUGUCCUCAGUAAAGAUGGUCUUACUCCGCUUGAAGGUGCAACUCCCCUAAUAAUAACAUCCACCAUUUGCYGCUGACUGCAGUGAGACCGAUGCCAAAAGCUGUUCCUCUUCCUGGCGUCUGGCAGCAGUCGGAUCUGCACCCGUGCAGCGCAAGCCCGGGGUGCUCGGCAGACGUCUGAAAUCUGGCGACCUCCCUGCCGGCUGGCCGCCCCUGCGAGCUUUGGUCCUGGUCGCAAAGGACGUGUGUGGCAGAGCCCCAAGUAGGAUCCGAGCCUUUCGGYCUCUCGUAGAGGUACAAGACCAUCUGUCUUCAGUGGCAACGGGCUGCUUGCGUAGGUAUGCGAUACAGGAGAAAACAUUU